rnacentral:lncRNA from 1 species
AUUUACAAUAGCCAAGACAUGGAAACAACCUAAAUGUCCAUCAACAGAGGAGUGGACCCAGAAGAUGUGGUACAUAUAUACAAUGGAAUAUUACUCAGCCAUCAAAAAGAACGAAAUACCUGCAUUUUUAGCAACAUGGAUGGACCUAGAAAUUAUCAUGCUAAGUGAAGUCAGCCAUACAAUGAGACACCAACAUCCAAUGCUUUCACUGACAUGUGGAAUCUGAAAAAAGGACAGACGGAACUUCUUUGCAGAACAGAUGCUGACUCACAGACAUUGAAAAACUUAUGGUCUCCAGUGGAGACAGUUUGGGGGUUGGGGAGAUGUGCUUGGGCUGUGGGAUGGAAAUACUAUGAAAUCAGAUUGUUAUGAUCAUUAUACAACUACAGAUGUGAUAAAUUCAUUUGAGUAAUAAAAAAUGAAAAAAAAAUAAAAUAAAACUCAAAAAUAAAUAAAUAAAUAAAUAAGAGGUACCUACAAAAAACACAUAUUUAAUUUCCGUCUGAAAUAAAUAAUAAGAUAAAUAUAACUACUAUCAUCACUUCUAUUCAAAUAUGUACUCGAGAUAGUAGCCAGGGCAAAAUAUCAUGAAAAAUAAUAAGAAUGCAAAAGGAAGAACAAAAAUGUCUUUUCCAUAUUCUAUUUUAUGCAUGCAGAAAAUCCUAAGGAAAAAAUCUAUGGAGAAACAAUUGGAAUUCAUAUCUACAUUUAAGAUGGUUUUUGGAUAUAAAGUCAACAAACAAAAUCAACUGUAUUUCUAUGUACCAACCACAAACACUUAUAAAGUGAAGUUAAGAAAAUUAUUAUUAUUUACAACAGCAUCAAAAACUGUGGAAUACCUAAUAAUACAUCUUUCAAAACUUACACAAAAACACAGAAAAAUAUAAAAUAUUUUUGAGAGAUUGAAAAAACCUUAAUAUGAGGAAGAGCAUAUUAUAUUCAUGAGUAAAAAAGUUAAUUUUCUUCUAAUUAAUCCAUAGAUAUAAUAACCAGUGAAAUUCCAGAAGUUUUAUUCUAUAGAAAUUGAUGAGAUUCUAAAAUGUAUAUGGACAAACAGUCAAGAAUAGCCAAGACAAGUCUUAAGCAGAACGAAGUCUUAACACUUACACUAUAAGAUUUUUAGAACUGUUAUUAAGCUACAGUAAUUAAGACAAUGUGGCUAUAUGGGUGGAAAUAUAAAUAGACCACUGACAUAGACUAAGGAGUCCAGAAAUAGGUAAAAAGAUAAAAGUCCAGGAAAAAGACUAUCUAUUCAAUAAACCAUGCUGGUUCAUUUGGGAAAACAGUAAAAUUUAACCUUUUCUCACACCAUAUCCCUUUGGGAAAACAGUAAAUUUUAACUCUCACAACAUAAACAAAAACAAAUUCCAGGUGGAUUAUAUCAUGGUUAUGAUUAAUCAUUAUUAAAUUAUAUUUUUAUAUAAAAGGUAAAGCAUAAGUCUCUUAGAAAAAUUACACCUAGAACAUAUUUAAGGCUUUAAUGUAUAUGAAUAUUCCUUAAACAAGUUGCUGAAUUCUCUUAACUUUUGCUUAUCUGUGAAGCUUUUGAUUUCUCCUUCAAAUCUGAAUGAGAGAGCCUUGCUGGGUAAAAUAAUCUUGGUUGAAGGUUUUUUCCUUUCAUCAUGUUAAGUAUAUUCAUGCCACUCCCUUUUGGCCUGCAGAGUUUCUGCUGAAAAAUUUGCUGAUAACCUUAUCGGGGUUCCCUUGUAUGUUAUUUGUUGCUUUUCCCUAGCUGCUUUCAAUAUUUUCUCUUUGUCUUUAAUUUUGGUCAGUUUGAUUAAUAUGUGUCUUGGGGUGUUCCUCCUUGGGUUUAUUUUAUAUGGCACUCAUUGUGCCUCCUGGAUUUGAGUGAGUGGUUCCUCUCCUGUGUUAGGGAAGUUUUUGGCUAUUAUCUCUUCAAAUAUUUUUUCUGUCCCUUUAAUACGGAUGUUGUUGUGUUUAAUGUUGUCCCAGCAUUCUCUGAGACUCUCUUCAUUUGUUUUCAAUCUUUUUUCUCUUUUCUGUUACACAUCUGUGAUUUCCACUAGUCUGUGCUCUACCUCGCUUCUUUGUUCUUCUGCCUCUGUAUUCUGCUGUUGGUUGCUUCUAAUGAAGUUUUUAGUUCAGUUAUUGUAUUUUGCAUCUCUGCUUGCUUAAGUUUUAAAUCGUGUAUUUCUUUGCUCAAUGUUUCCUAUAAAUUAUCCAUCUUUGCCUCCAGUUUAUUUCCAAUGUCUUGCAUCAUCUUCAGCAUCAUUAGUCUAAAGUCUUUUUCCUGGAGGCUGAUAAUCUCCAGAUCACUUAGCUGUUUUCCUGGGGUUUUUCCUUUCUCCCUUAUCUGAGUUAUAGUUCUUUGCAUUUUCAUUUUUAUAGGUAUUUGGUGUGGUGUCUUUUUGCAGACAGUAGAGUUGUAGCCUCUCUUACUUCUUGCAUUUGUCCCCUUUGUGGCUGAAGUUGUUACGGGGGCUUGCUGUAGGCUUCCUAAUGGGAAGGACUGGUGACUGCCCACUGGUAGGUGGGGCUGAUUGGUAUCCCUCUGGUGGGUGGGACUUUGUCUCUGGGUGAGAUUAGAGGCAGUUGUGCACCUGGGGAGGGGUCUUUAGGUAGCCUGUUUACUGACUGGGUGGGGCUGUGAUACCACCUGGAUUAUUGUUUGGCCUGGGGUUUCUCAGUGCUGAUGGGUGGGGCCAUAUUUUCCCAAAAUGGCCACCCCCAGGGGAACACAUGCUGAUGAAUAUUCCCAUGAGCUUUGCCUCCAGUGUUCUUCCCCCACAAUGAGCCACAGUUCAUUUUCCCAGGAGAUCCUCCAAGAACAGCAGUCAGGUCCAACCCAGAUUACCAUGGAACCUGCUUUUCCCUGGGACCCAGUGUACAUGAAAGUCGGUGUACCUUUCAAGAAUGGGGUCUCUAUUUCCCCCAGUGCCAUGGAGCUCCUACACACAAUCCCCAUUGGCCCUCAAUGCCAGAUGCUUCAGGGGCUCUUUCUCUCAAUGCCAGAUCCCCAGGCAUGGGGACUUGACAUGGGCUCAGAACUCUCAGUCCUGUAGGUGAGUCUCUGUGAUAAAGUUAAUUUCCAGUCUGUGGGUUUCCUACCAGGGAGGUAUGAGGUUACUUAUAUUGCGUAAUUACCCCUCCCACCUCUUGAUGUGGUCUCCUCUUUGUCUUCUGGAGAAGGAUAUUUUUUUGAAAGUUUCCAGUCCAUUUAGUUGAAGAUUGUUCAGCAUUUGGUUGUAACUUUGCUUUUUUAUGACAGAAGUUGAGCUCCAGUCCUUCUAUUCUGCAAUCCUGCAGCAGCCUACUGUGCUCUUCAUCUAGUGCCGGCAUGACCAAAACAGGAAACAUUGCCUUAAGAACUUCUUCAGACGAAAAAGUGUUCAGAGCACUCAGACUAGGAGGUCCCACUGAGGACUUGAUCCAGGUUGAGUCAGGGGCCUGUUUCUGAAACAAGUGCAGUGCAUGUGGUGUGAAUAGUGCAGUGUCAGCCCUUUUCAACCUGUGUGAAAAGCCUUCCUUCACAAGGGACAAGUGGUCCUGUUAGCUGAAGAGGGUAGGGGCACUGGGAAGAGAAAACCAACAGAUAUGCAGUAGCUGGCCAAAUUCAUUAUGGUUAUAACCAAACAUGUCAGAGGAAGUAGAAACCAGUUUUAUAAACAUUUGACUACUAGUGGGAGGCAGAGACAAAGAAACACUGGCUACAAGGGGCCAGAACCUAGAUAAGAAAGGAGGCUUGGUUGGUAUCUCCAGAACCCAAAGUCAGAAGCAUUGACCAAAAGGGGUCAGAACCAUGGCAGAAGUGUGUGCGAUGGGUAUGGAAACAAAAUGCAAUUGACACUGAUCAUCGACCAAUAUCCCUGGAGGCAUAGGCUCCUCAGUACACUUCCUCCUCUAGCUGAAAUAGAGUAUGGGUGGAAUUAAAGUCACAGACUAAGCAAUUAGGGAUACAUUCUUAGAAUGGAGGAAUAGUCACAAGCCUCCUGAUAACAUGGAUUUUCCCUUUUAAAAUUCCUCACUCACUGCCAGGGAAUUAGAUGGACCUAUCAGAUAAGUCCUAUCAGCAAAUAUGCUACUGCUCCAAAUAAAUGUCAGUGUUCUUUUUUUUGCUUUUUUUUCCCAAGUUGGUGUUUGUCAUAGAGGAAUUUGUUCUGUAAAAAUCCAUAUACCCCCACUUAGUUAAGAAAUCUAUAUUCCUUUUUCCUUUUCUAAUCAGGGCAUAGUUGAUUUACAGUGUGGUGCCAAUUUCUGUUGUAUAGCACAGUGG